rnacentral:lncRNA from 1 species
AGGUAGCCAAGUAGAAAUAAACAAAAUUAAGUGACAAGUUGUUUCAACAAUUGGUGAUGCAAAGAGACCAUUCUGAGUUCAUUAGACAGCAAAUUACUUGACAUACUAUAAAGCUCAGUAAACCUCAGCUAUUACUGUAGAAGAAACCCAAGGCUUCAACAAUAGCAAUAGCAACAGCAAUAGCAGGAAAUAAGCAUAGAACUACCACUAGAGCGACCUGGGACUCCUGUUUGCAACUGUAUGAGGAUGUAAUUAAAAAUUUUAGUUUUAGUUUUAAGAAAAAUUUAUGUACCUAUUGCCAUACAAUUUGUUAUAUCUAUAAUUGCAACUAACAAUUAAAAUAAGUGACUAACAGAUUCGUUUAAAAAACCAAUGCAAAAUCUUCCUACUCUGCACCUAGAAGUCUUCAGCAUGUAUCAUUAGCUAGCUAAACACACACACACACACAUGCACACACACAAAUUUUACUAGUAUGUAAACCAAAAUUAUCUGAGACAGGUCUCAGUCAAUUUAUAAGUUUGUUUUGCCAAGUUUAAGGACAAUAAUAUUUCAUUGUGUAAAGAAUGUUGGCACCAGGGGCCCAAGUUCCAGUUUAUUGAUGGCUCAGAGCUUAUGAAUUGAUGCCCUCAGCAGGUUGCUGCCCUGAUGAAUGGCAAUUACUGUGGCUCCCACAGAG